rnacentral:rRNA from 1 species
CCUACGGGGGGCAGCAGUGAGGAAUAUUGGUCAAUGGCCGUAAGGCUGAACCAGCCAAGUCGCGUGAGGGAAGACUGCCCUAUGGGUUGUAAACCUCUUUUAUGCGGGGAUAAAGGUGUCCACGUGUGGAUGUUUGCAGGUACCCUAUGAAUAAGGAUCGGCUAAUUCCGUGCCAGCAGCCGCGGUAAUACGGAGGGUUCGGGCGUUAUCCGGAUUUAUUGGGUUUAAAGGGUGCGUAGGCUGGUCUUUAAGUCAGCCGGGAAAGUUUGUGGCUCAACCAUAAAAGUGCCGUUGAAACUGGAGGCCUUGAGUGGGCGGGAGGUAGGCGGAAUUCGUGGUGUAGCGGUGAAAUGCUUAGAUAUCACGCAGAACCCCGAUUGCGAAGGCAGCCUACCGAGGCAUAACUGACGCUGAAGCACGAAAGCGCGGGUAUCGAACAGGAUUAGAUACCCCAGUAGUC